rnacentral:rRNA from 1 species
AUUGAACGCUGGCGGCAGGCCUAACACAUGCAAGUCGAGCGGAUGAAGGGAGCUUGCUCCUGGAUUCAGCGGCGGACGGGUGAGUAAUGCCUAGGAAUCUGCCUGGUAGUGGGGGAUAACGUCCGGAAACGGGCGCUAAUACCGCAUACGUCCUGAGGGAGAAAGUGGGGGAUCUUCGGACCUCACGCUAUCAGAUGAGCCUAGGUCGGAUUAGCUAGUUGGUGGGGUAAAGGCCUACCAAGGCGACGAUCCGUAACUGGUCUGAGAGGAUGAUCAGUCACACUGGAACUGAGACACGGUCCAGACACCUAAGGGAGGCAGCAGUGGGGAAUAUUGGACAAUGGGGGAAAGCCUGAUCCAGCCAUGCGGCGUGUGUGAAGAAGGUCUUCGGAUUGUAAAGCACUUUAAGUUGGGAGGAAGGGAAGUAAGUUAAUACCUAGCUGUAUUGACGUUACCAACAGAAUAAGCACCGGCUAACUUCGUG